rnacentral:rRNA from 1 species
AUCUUCCGCAAUGGACGAAAGUCUGACGGAGCAACGCCGCGUGAGUGAUGAAGGAUUUCGGUCUGUAAAGCUCUGUUGUUUAUGACGAACGUGCAGUGUGUGAACAAUGCAUUGCAAUGACGGUAGUAAACGAGGAAGCCAAGGCUCACUACGUGCCAGCAGCCGCGGUAAUACGUAGGUGGCGAGCGUUGUCCGGAAUUAUUGGGCGUAAAGAGCAUGUAGGCGGCUUAAUAAGUCGAGCGUGAAAAUGCGGGGCUCAACCCCGUAUGGCGCUGGAAACUGUUAGGCUUGAGUGCAGGAGAGGAAGGGGGAAUUCCCAGUGUAGCGGUGAAAUGCGUAGGUAUUGGGAGGAACACCAGUGGCGAAGGCGCCUUUCUGGACUGUGUCUGACGCUGAGAUGCGAAAGCCAGGGUAGCGAACGGG